rnacentral:misc_RNA from 1 species
UUUCCGUAGGUGAACCUGCGGAAGGAUCAUUCAUAAUAAAGUGUUUUAUGGCACUUUUUAAAAAUCCAUAUCCACCUUGUGUGCAAUGUUAGAUCUCGUCAAUCUUGGCGAGAUUUUUAUACAUCAACUCAUUCUUUAACUAAUUUGUCUGAAAAAUAUUAUGAAUACUUAAUUCAAAAUACAACUUUCAACAACGGAUCUCUUGGUUCUC